GGUCAGGAUGAACGCUAGCUACAGGCUUAACACAUGCAAGGUCGAGGGGCAGCAUGGUCUAGCUGCUAAGACUGAUGGCGACCGGCGCACGGGUGAGUAACGCGUAUCCAACCUGGCCCUUAGUAGGGAACAGCCCGGCGAAAGUCGGAUUAAUGCCCUAUGUUUUCCAAUGAUGGCAUCUGACUUGGGACAAAGAUUCAUCGCUAAGGGAUGGGGAUGCGUCUGAUUAGCUUGUCGGCGGGGUAACGGCCCACCGAGGCGACGAUCAGUAGGGGUUCUGAGAGGAAGGUCCCCCACAUUGGUACUGAGACACGGACCAAACUCCUACGGGAGGCAGCAGUGAGGAAUAUUGGUCAAUGGGCGCGAGCCUGAACCAGCCAGGUAGCGUGCAGGAAGACUGCCCUAUGGGUUGUAAACUGCUUUUAUGCGGGGAUAAAGUUCACUACGUGUAGUGUUUUGUAGGUACCGCAUGAAUAAGGACCGGCUAAUUCCGUGCCAGCCGCCGC
rnacentral:rRNA from 1 species